rnacentral:lncRNA from 1 species
CAAGAUUGUCUUUCCUGACCCCUAGCUCUUGGAUGGUACAGAGGACCCCUGGAGCAUCCAAAAGAGAGGUUUCUGAUAACUUCGGGGAUUGUGACAAUGGAAUUAAAAAAAGUACAGGACUCAUGAAGAACUGAAGUGUUCAUGAAUGUCAAGCAAAGCAAGAAUAAACUGAAUGGACUGACCUAACAGAAAACUGAAGAUGCAAUGGGAGAAACUGGUUGUUUUGCCAAGGCUUUGACUGGAAGGGUAU